rnacentral:rRNA from 1 species
CUUGGUGUCUAUAGAGCGCGGGGUACACCUGAUCCCAUCCCGAACUCAGCAGUUAAGCCACGCUUCGCCGAUGGUACUUGGGUCUUUGGCCCUGGUAGAGUAGGUCGGCGCCAAGA